AUCAUGGCUCAGAACGAACGCUGGCGGCAGGCCUAACACAUGCAAGUCGAACGCUCGUAGCAAUACGGGAGUGGCAGACGGGUGCGUAACGCGUGGGAACAUACCCUUUGGUUCGGAAUAACUCAGGGAAACUUGAGCUAAUACCGGAUACGCCCGAGAGGGAAAGAUUUAUUGCCGAAGGAUUGGCCCGCGUCUGAUUAGCUAGUUGGUGAGGUAACGGCUCACCAAGGCGACGAUCAGUAGCUGGUCUGAGAGGAUGAUCAGCCACACUGGGACUGAGACACGGCCCAGACUCCUACGGGAGGCAGCAGUGGGGAAUAUUGGACAAUGGGCGCAAGCCUGAUCCAGCCAUGCCGCGUGAGGGAUGACGGCCUUAGGGUUGUAAAGCUCUUUUACCCGGGAAGAUAAUGACGGUACCGGGAGAAUAAGCCCCGGCUAACUUCGUG
rnacentral:rRNA from 1 species